UACGUAGGGCGCGAGCGUUGUCCGGAAUUAUUGGGCGUAAAGAGCUCGUAGGUGGCUUGUCGCGUCUGCCGUGAAAGCCCGUGGCUUAACUACGGGUCUGCGGUGGAUACGGGCAGGCUAGAGGCUGGUAGGGGCAAGCGGAAUUCCUGGUGUAGCGGUGAAAUGCGCAGAUAUCAGGAGGAACACCGGUGGCGAAGGCGGCUUGCUGGGCCAGUUCUGACGCUGAGGAGCGAAAGCGUGGGGAGCGAACA
rnacentral:rRNA from 1 species